ACCGACAAAUUCUUUUGACACCAUUGCAUUCAGUCUUCUUUUUCCGCAUCGGCAUCAAGUGCGCCGGAAACACUGACUCUGGCAGACGAGCUGGAGCAGGUGACCUACACGCAGGACUCGGCCGCAUGACCCACAGCUGCCUUUUCACUCAGGCCGGGACAGUGGCAGAAAGACCAGACCAGAUAGGAUCCCCUGAUGAGCAGCUCAGGAUUUUACAUCAGUGCUCUGGAAACGGGAGGCGAGGCAGGCGAUGCAGGGGCGGCAGGCUAGGUGCUGGUGCCGGCUCAGAUUUCUAGGAUUCGGUCCCAGUUUGGUCACAAAUGGCAGCAGGAUCCUUGGAGAGG